rnacentral:misc_RNA from 1 species
UUUCAGUGUUCUCAUUCUUCAGAGGAUAACCCAUCCGGUCCGUAGGUCUUGCAUUUGGCAUUGUGCUUCUACGUUCAUUCACUGCAUUGUCUUUCAUAGCAUUGUUUGAUACGUUAGCUCGAGUAUUGUUUAGCUCUUUGAAAUCCACAUUGUUUCCAUCCACAUAACGGCCAUUAAACAAAUCUCUUGAAACUCUGGAUUCUG